rnacentral:RNase_P_RNA from 1 species
GGAAAGUCCGGGCUUCACAGGGCAGGAUGCCGGAUAACGUCCGGUGGAGGCGACUCCAAGGAUAGUGCAACAGAAAUGUACCGCCGGCGGGCCAAAAGCCUGCCGGUAAGGGUGGAAGGGCAGUGUAAGAGACUACCGCCUUCCCGGUAACGGGAGGGGCAUAUGUAAACCCCAUCCGAAGCAAGACCGAAACGAAGCAUAUGGCGGCCCGUCAGCUUCAGGUAGGUCGCUCGAGCCUGCCGGCGACGGCAGGCCUGGAUAGAUGAUCAUUCACGACAUAACCCGGCUUAUCGUCCUGCUUG